GAGGGUAUAGCUCAACUGGUAGAGUACAUGCUUAGCAUGCAUGAGGUCCUGGGUUCAGUCCCCAAUGUCUCCU
rnacentral:tRNA from 1 species